UACGGGGGGAGCAAGCGUUGUUCGGAUUUACUGGGCGUAAAGGGCGCGUAGGCGGCGCAACAAGUCACUUGUGAAAUCUCCGGGCUUAACCCGGAGCGGCCAAGUGAUACUGUCGUGCUAGAGUGCGGAAGGGGCUACUGGAAUUCUCGGUGUAGCGGUGAAAUGCGUAGAUAUCGAGAGGAACACCUGCGGUGAAGGCGGGUAGCUGGGCCGACACUGACGCUGAGGCGCGAAAGCCAGGGGAGCGAACGGG
rnacentral:rRNA from 1 species